GACGAACGCUGGCGGCGUGCUUAACACAUGCCAGUCGAACGGAAAGGCCCUGCUUUUGUGGGGUGCUCGAGUGGCGAACGGGUGAGUAACACGUGAGUAACCUGCCCUUGACUUUGGGAUAACUUCAGGAAACUGGGGCUAAUACAGGAUAGGAGCUCCUGCUGCAUGGUGGGGGUUGGAAAGUUUCGGCGGGUGGGGAUGGACUCGCGGCUUAUGAGCUUGUUGGUGGGGUAGUGGCUUACCAAGGCUUUGACGGGUAGCCGGCCUGGGAGGGUGACCGGCCACAUUGGGACUGAGAUACGGACCAGACUGCUACGGGAGGCAACAGGGGGGAAUAUUGCACAAUGGGCGGAAGCCUGAUGCAGCAACGCCGCGUGCGGGAUGACGGCCUGCGGGUUGUAAACCGCUUUCGCCUGUGACGAAGCGUGAGUGACGGUAAUGGGUAAAGAAGCACCGGCUAACUACGUG
rnacentral:rRNA from 1 species